CCAUGAUUCCCCUUCCUGAGACAGACACUGGCUAGACUCAUACCAGAAUUCAUUAUAUAUAAAGAAGGCAAAGAAUUACUUCGUAUUUGAAAGAAUAUCAAAUUCUACUUCAGACAGAUGAUUAAAAUUGAUACCAUCAGGUAAACAAAUUAUGAAUGCUGGAUGGAACAGAGUAGAUUUGAGAAUAACAGUGUGAUGCUUUCUCCAGACUUUUUUCAGAGAUCAGCUUCAAAAGGACUCCGAAGCUAGCACCUGUGCUUGGCUGUGGAUCUCUGCAUCUGCUCUGGCAGUUACUGGACAAAAGCUCUCCUGUGACAAUCUGAUUUCAGAAGAAGGCCAGUUCAGGCACCCUCCCCAGUAUUGCCAGGAGUCUUAGCUGGUGACAUCCUUCUGGAUUCCUGAGGGCUUCGCUGGCAUCUGGUUUUCUGUAACCCCAAAAUGCCCACCUAGCAAGAUGCUUCUUCCUUAACUCUUCCCCUCCAAUCUACCCCCAACCUGUCUCCAAUACCCAUUCUGCCCAACAGGCUGCCUCAAGUUUCCAUCUCCCAUUCUCCCAACCCCCAGCUCCAGUUUUCAUAGGAGAUCUCUUCUAUUUCUCCUUCCCAGGGAAAUCCAUGCAUUCCUCUUUGAAUCCUCCUUGUUAUCUAUCCUCUCUGGGACUCUGGAGUGUAUAUUUGUUCUCUUUAAAAUUUACGACUCCUUUUUAUUAAUUGUAGUUUGUAUUUUUAACCAUGCUUCUAUAAUGCAGUUUGUAGAAAUAAGAUGAUGAAUGAGACACAUUUUUGUCUGAAAUUUGAAAAGUUUUAAAGUAAAAUUCUUCAACUAUAAGAAUGUAAGGUUUCCAAAAAAUCUUGAACAUUUUCAUGCAGUUGUAUUUGUCUUCCACAACGAUCAUGACAAAUGAAUGCAUCAUGCUCCUCGGGUUCAUGAAACAGCAUGAAAAGAACAAAAAAAAAAGACAAAUGCUUUCAGAAGCCAGGACUACUACAUUUACAUGAAUUGAGAGAAUAAUAAAAUAAGAAUAGAAAAGUUGCCUAUCCUCAGAUUUCUUUUUAAAAUUUUCAUUCCAGAAAAAAAGAUCUAUACUGACUAGAUGUGGACUAGGCAUAUUUGAA